rnacentral:lncRNA from 1 species
GAUCUAAAUCACCACCAAACCCCAUCACCACCAUUUAAGAACCCUAGAACAACCCUUUUAUAACAAUCCCAAAAUUCGAUUUCUUUAAUCAUAGUUAGACAUUAAGAUGUUGGGGCUUUUGAUUAGAAGAUGAAGACGGGUAUGUUGGUGCAAGAAUUACAUUAAGAUGAAGAGGCACUGACCAGAGUAUGACAUGUUACAUUAAGAUGAAGAGGCACUGACCAAUAUGAAUAAAAGAAAACCCAAAUCAUGUAGAUGUUCUUUGAACAGACAAUGACAAUAACAUGUCACAUUGAUCAGUAGAUGGGGACACGUUGAUGAUUAAAAAACGAUGGUUGUGAAUGCAGUUUGAAGUUAUCAAUUUGAACUCUCAUUCAGCUGGUGACUCAUCAUAAGGUUCGUUUUUUAUGGGUAACCCCACUAAGCCCUUUUUGUCUUGUGAAAAUUGCAAGCUGGCCACAUAAUCGUAUCAAUUAAUACAUCUAAAACCCAUUGCACGCAACCCACAUCGAAUAGGGGGAAAUAUUAAUUGAUCAUUCUAACCUCAACAUACUAAGAAAAACACGUGCAAGCACUUUACAUCUCCGUCAAGCUUUGGGAAUCGCGCGGAUUCUCCGUCAAUUUGAAGUGUAAAUUAUCGUCGGAAGAUCUGAACGUUCUGGUCUCCGUUUCUUCCGAUGAAGAUCUCGCUGUUGCUGUUGAAUCGCUCGUUGAUUUUCCGGCGAUGAACCGUUGACGUGUCCAAGAAGACAACAGCAUCGCCCUUCAGUUGAUGUCAGAUCUGCGAACUUAAUUAGGGGUCCAACGUGAGGGGUUGGGUUCUGAUGGUGGCGGGACUGUGGAGGUCGAUGGUGAUGAUGGUUGAGGGCGGAGGAUUGCGAUAUGGUGGUGGUGUUUCUAUUUGAAGACAACAGUGGUACAUGGUGAUGAUGGUUGAUGGUGUUGAAUGCUGCUGGUGAUGAUAAUGAUAAGUUAAUGGUUAAUGUUGAUGAUGGGUGUAGAGAUAGAGACGGUGAGAGAAAAUUAUAGAAAGUGAACAGUGUCACCUCAAAUAUACAUAUGAACAGUAACAUUUUCUUUCUCUUCCACUCACAACCAUUUAGAGCAUUCGCAUCAUAUCCAUUAUCUUCAUCUUUAUAAUUACACUAGAACUCAGUGUCUUUCUCUCUCCUUUUCAAUUAAUUUAUAAUUAUAAUUUUUUUAUAUCUUUAUCAUUAUCUUUUCUUUCUCCUCUACUCACAACCACUUUUAAAAUAUUAAGAAAGUUAUAGGGGUGAACAAUGUUUUUUCGUAUUUACAGACCAAUGGUAAC